UCCUGACCCAGCCCGAGUGGCGCAAGCAGUACGCGCUCGCACUCCCCGCCUGACCUGUCCCUUCCCGGCUCCGGUGCCCGCCACCCCCACAGUCCUCCGCCACUCACUACGCGCCUCUGGAUCCCUGCGGCCGAAAUAUCGCGAGACUUCGCUCGGGGCAGCUGCUACUGUGGUAAAGAAUUCACUUUUUUACCACAGCGUGCGUAUCAGCAAGUGAACAUAAAAACGCCUCUUCUAGUCAGAAACUGGCCAAUCCCGACCCCCGGUCCACCUAGGGCUCCGCCCACCACCGAGAAUAAGCCAAUCUCUUUGAGGCUUCUACAGGAGAACGCCGUGCGUUUGAGCUUGAACCUGAUAAGCCUGGCAGAAGCCUGAUGAACCCAGAAUGAGUGAGAUGUGGUAAGUUGUGCUUUAGGUUAGGGCGUCAUCUAACUGUUGGGCCAGAAAAUUUAAAGGGGAGAAGUGCAUCCUAAAGGGAGUUGCAGUUUCCUCGGUUCUGGUAGGACUACAAGUCCCAAUAUGCACCGCUCCCCCGGGCGACCUGAGUGUCUCUUGAGUAAAUGUGACCCUUGAAACGUCUACGUUAGCAGCUUAAUGGUUUCUCCAGCCUUGCGCGUGUUUCCAAGUCCCUAAACGGGAUGGUUUUUGAAAGGCUCGAACACUUGACAAGUAGGAAAGUGGUAUUUUCUUAGCCUAAGUUAUCUUAACACGUGAUUUGAAAUAGUGCUGGUAAUAACAACACACCAGCCCUGCAUUGAGCGUUUGUUUUGGAAAAGAACCUAGGAAUUCCAGAAUGAUCAGAGUCACAGCUACAAACUGAGAUUCAACUCUCAUUGUAUUUUGACACAAGUUUUGUAUUAUAAUUGACAAACAUCUGUUUAUAUGUCUCCCCCUGUAUACCGUAAGCCUCUUUGGAAUACAGAGGAACAGGACACAAGUCUGUCCUUAAUGUCUAGCACCGCACCAGUCCCACCCAUUCAGGGUGUUCUGUAAAUGUUGCAUGAAUGUGUAUAGAAACUCUCCAAAUAGGCCAGGCACGGUGACUCACGCCUAUUAUUCCAGAACUUUGGGAGGCCGAGGAGGGUGAAUCACGAGGUCAGGAGUUCGAGACCAGCCUGGCCAACAUAGUGAAACCCCCUUCUCUACUAAAAAUACAAAAAUUAGCCGGGCGUGGUGGCUCCCACCUGUAAUCCCAGCUACUCGGGAGGUUGAGGCAGGAGAAUCACUUGAACCCGGGAGGCAGAGGUUGUAGUGAGCCAAGACCCCCGUUGCACUCCAGCCUGGGUGACAGAGUGAGAUCCCGUCUCAAAACAAACAACCCUCAAAACUCUCCAAUAGGCCAGGCACGAUGGCUCACGCCUGUAAUCCCAGCACUUUGGUAAGUCGAGGUGGGGGCGGGGGGAUCACCUGAGGUUGGGAGUUCGAGACCAGCCUGGCUAACAUUGUGAAACCCAGUUUCUACUAAAAAUUAAAAAAUUAGCCUGGCAUGGUGGCACGCGCCUGUAAUCCCAGCUACUGGGAAGCUGAGGCGAGAGAAUCGCUUGAACCUGGGAGACGGAGGUUGCAGUGAGCCAAGAUCGUGUCAUUGCACUCCAGCUUGGGCAACAAGAGAGAAAGUCAAAAAAAAAAAAAAAAAAGAGAGAAAAGAAAAUAAAGAAACUCCCCCUUUUGUUGUAGUAUGAAGACUUCAAACUAUAAUAAUACUAGGGUGGGACGA
rnacentral:lncRNA from 1 species